GACGAACCGUGCGAACGUUAUUCGGAAUCACUGGGCUUAAAGCGCGUGUAGGCGGAUGGGUACGUCGGUCGCUGAAAUCCCCCGGCUCAACCGGGGAACUGGUACCGAAACGACCCGUCUGGAGGGACGUAGGGGGACCUGGAACUUCCGGUGGAGCGGUGAAAUGCGUUGAGAUCGGAAGGAAGACCAGUGGCGAAGGCGGGUCUCUGGACAGUUCCUGACACUGAGGCACGAAGGCCAGGGGAGCAAACGGG
rnacentral:rRNA from 1 species